CCUUCAGGCGCCGGGCCGCACCCAGCAGCGGCUCCGGUCGUGCCUCGCCUUUCCUUCGCACGUCCCUGUGAGCCGCCUCCAGGAACGAGUGAAUCAGAGAAUGAAUGAGUGGGGAGGAAAAUCCCGGCGCGGCCCCACCCCCUGCUCGGCUUUCCUAGGAAGCGGGCCCAGCAGCCUCUGUCCCAGCGCGCUAGGAGGCACAGCAGCCUCGGGCAGAACUGGAACAAAUAAUGGGCUUGCCAGUUCUCCAGAAAGAAUACUUCCUUUCAAAGCCCUCUCUUAUGGACAUUACAGCCAAGUACAGAAGUUAGACAGUAUUACCAAAGGCAAGUAAAAGGGGUCUAUGGGAGCACGUAAUGAGGAAUACGCUUGGGGAAUGAAUGUUGUCUGUGAGCUCAGGGAACAAAUGAAUGGGGGGAAUGAAAUAAUUGCUUGAAUGAAUGGGGUGGUUUGAGGAAUGACACAGGACUGUAUAUUUAAUAUAUCAAGUAUGUAUACAUUUAUAUUACAAAUAUAAUAUGUAUAUAUUAAUAUAUAAAUGCAUAUUAUACAUUUGGUGUACACCAAAUGCUUCAUAUAUAUUUAAAGAUCACAUUCUCAGAUGAACACAGCUAGUUCUUACAUGUGGUUCACCACAGUAAACAAAACUGGAUUUUUUUCUAAAGAAUACCAGCUGCUGGUGAAAGGGAUCACUACCCUUUUUCAGCAGGGGAAGGAGGUAUAUCUUCUUUUUCUAUGCUUUCAAGCACCUUUGUUUUGUUGUUCUGGCUAUGAAUCUCAAUCCUCAAACUCUCCUGGGUGAAAAAAUGUCAUAUUUUUUAGUUUUCACAAAUAAAAUUAACUUUGACUCCAAGUCUCCCCUUCUACAAGUGAGAAAUUCAAGAUGAGUCAUUGCUGGUGCUCCUCUCCCCUGUUGUUCCCAACCCCCUGCCAGGGAGGUGCAGAGGCCUUACCUAGCUUCAAGCACGGGGAGGUCCCUUCCUUCAUCUGCCCACACUGGGUUCCACGGAAGGUGCCCACUGUUUUAGUCCUCAGAGUCCCUUAGAUCCAAGGACUCUGCUGUUUUCAUACCACCGUUGGGUACAAGAGCCUUUGGCGAGCCAGAAAUGCUUGGCCCCAUCUUCAAGGCACUACCAGGGACGACAGUGCAGGAGAACAGGUGUGCAUGACAGCUUUCAUUUUCUCUUUUAAAAAAAUUUAAAAUUUCUUAUAAUAAUUUGUCGUGUAUUUAAUUUUUUGUUGUUGUUACUUAGUAGGACUUCAGAACGACACAGAAAAACAACCAUCUCUCAUUGUCAAGACAUAUCCACCGUUUUCCCCAGAGGCAAACAAACCCAGUUCUCUUUUCCCUCCAGGGAAUCCAGCAUAGACCUCUCUAUGUGUUUAGGAGGUUGGAAAAAAAGACCAAGAAGGGAAGUAUCUUGCAAGCCACUUCUGCUUUCCUCCUUGUGACAUAUUAAUAUUUGCCUGCAGCAAAGAAGCACGGGGCCUACUAUCUUCCUGAAUAUGGGACAAGAAAGAGGAAAAUACACAGAGAAUGCCAUAAAUACAUAUCUCAAAUCUCCAUCCUCCCACACAGUCAAAUUGCACAAGCUUGCUCAGCUGAGUUAACAGGGAGACUCUUUUGCCUGCAAACAGGUCAAUCACCAGUAAGCUAUUAUACUUGAUACCUACCCUCUUCUACAAAUUCACUUAGAAAUUCUGAUUGGGAAAGAAAAGUCAAAGGUCAGAGGAAUAAAAUGGCUGAGUAAAAUUGUUUUCAUAGUUUACAUUUAUUUUUCGUACAAGUUUAAUUCCAGUAGGUAAAAUAUUAAAAGUAUGAGCACCUGUAAUCAGGGUCAAUUGAUAAAGUUAGAAAAUUCCAGUAGGUAUUUUGUCCUUUCGGAGCAUGACUCUACCUUUAAAAAUGUCAAUGAGAAUGUAAUUUAGAUAGUUACAAUUGUACUGUAAGAAGAAUCACCUGAUGAUUUGUAGUAACUACUCUCAUGUAUAUUUACAUUUAACUUACAUCCACUGAUUAUUUUUCCUAAAAUAAUCUGGUAAAGAGCAAGUCAAGUCCCUACAAGCAGUUUCUUCAGUGAUACGUUUGCAACUUCUGUAAUAACUUUUGCUCUAUAAUUAUUGCUUUUCUUUUCCUAGAAGCUCACGCGUUGACAAAGGGAAACAUAGGAGUCUCCAUUUUGUCUGGAGACUUCUCUAUUCUUCUGCUUUAGUUUUGGAUACAUUUAUGCAUAUGAUAGCAAUGCUAAGUAAAAGUUAUAAUUAGAAUAUAUGGUAAUGUAGGAUGAGUAAUAUGUGUGUGUAUAUAUAUAUGCAUUAAAAAAAAAACAGAGAUUCUUUGCUGUUACCACAGCAAAUAAUGGGAAACCACAAGGGCUUUUCCUCCACUUUUCUAUUUAAA
ensembl:lncRNA